rnacentral:rRNA from 1 species
CUUGCUCCUUGGGUGACGAGUGGCGGACGGGUGAGUAAUGUCUGGGAAACUGCCCGAUGGAGGGGGAUAACUACUGGAAACGGUAGCUAAUACCGCAUAACGUCGCAAGACCAAAGAGGGGGACCUUCGGGCCUCUUGCCAUCGGAUGUGCCCAGAUGGGAUUAGCUAGUAGGUGGGGUAACGGCUCACCUAGGCGACGAUCCCUAGCUGGUCUGAGAGGAUGACCAGCCACACUGGAACUGAGACACGGUCCAGACUCCUACGGGAGGCAGCAGUGGGGAAUAUUGCACAAUGGGCGCAAGCCUGAUGCAGCCAUGCCGCGUGUAUGAAGAAGGCCUUCGGGUUGUAAAGUACUUUCAGCGAGGAGGAAGGUGUUGUGGUUAAUAACCGCAGCGAUUGACGUUACUCGCAGAAGAAGCACCGGCUAACUCCGUGCCAGCAGCCGCGGUAAUACGGAGGGUGCAAGCGUUAAUCGGAAUUACUGGGCGUAAAGCGCACGCAGGCGGUCUGUCAAGUCGGAUGUGAAAUCCCCGGGCUCAACCUGGGAACUGCAUCCGAAACUGGCAGGCUAGAGUCUUGUAGAGGGGGGUAGAAUUCCAGGUGUAGCGGUGAAAUGCGUAGAGAUCUGGAGGAAUACCGGUGGCGAAAGGCGGCCCCCUGGACAAAGACUGACGCUC